GACAGAGGGUGCAAACGUUGUUCGGAAUUACUGGGCGUAAAGCGUGUGUAGGCGGCUAUGUAAGUCGGAUGUGAAAGCCCCGGGCUCAACCCGGGAAGUGCACUCGAUACUGCGUAGCUUGAGUCUCGGAGAGGUUGGUGGAAUUCUCGGUGUAGAGGUGAAAUUCGUAGAUAUCGAGAGGAACACCGGUGGCGAAGGCGGCCAACUGGACGAAGACUGACGCUGAGACACGAAAGCGUGGGGAGCAAACAGG
rnacentral:rRNA from 1 species